GACGAACGCUGGCGGCGUGCUUAACACAUGCAAGUCGAACGGAAAGGCCCUUCGGGGUACUCGAGUGGCGAACGGGUGAGUAACACGUGGGUGAUCUGCCUCGUACUCUGGGAUAAGCCUGGGAAACUGGGUCUAAUACUGGAUAGGACCUUCUCUCGCAUGGGGGUUGGUGGAGAGUUUUUCGGUACGAGAUGGGCCCGCGGCCUAUCAGCUUGUUGGUGGGGUAAUGGCCUACCAAGGCGACGACGGGUAGCCGGCCUGAGAGGGCGACCGGCCACACUGGGACUGAGACACGGCCCAGACUCCUACGGGAGGCAGCAGUGGGGAAUAUUGCACAAUGGGCGCAAGCCUGAUGCAGCGACGCCGCGUGAGGGAUGACGGCCUUCGGGUUGUAAACCUCUUUCACCAGGGGCGAAUUUAGACGGUAAACAUCGAAUAAGAGGUUGCUUACUCUGUGCCAGCCGCCGCGGUAA
rnacentral:rRNA from 1 species